UACGUAGGUGGCAAGCGAUACUCGGAAUCACUAGGCGUAAAGCGCAGGUAGGCGGUUCGGUAAGUCUUUUGUGAAAGCUCCCGGCUCAACUGGGAGAGGCCAAGGGAAACUACCGGACUAGAGUGUGGCAGAGGAAGCUGGAAUUCCUGGUGUAGCGGUGAAAUGCGCAGAUAUCAGGAGGAACACCGGUGGCGAAGGCGGGUCUCUGGGCCGAUACUGACGCUGAGGAGCGAAAGCGUGGGGAGCGAACAGG
rnacentral:rRNA from 1 species